GGACAGACCGGUGACGGCGAGCGAAUCCCAAAAAAACGAACGUCUCAGUUCGGAUUGUAGUCUGCAACUCGACUACAUGAAGCCGGAAUCGCUAGUAAUCGCGGAUCAGAAUGCCGCGGUGAAUACGUUCCCGGGUCUUGUACACACCGCCCGUCACACCAUGGGAGUCGGAAAUGCCCGAAGUCAGUGACCCAACCGAGAGGAGGGAGCUGCCGAAGGCAGGUCUGGUAACUGGGGUGAAGUCGUAACAAGGUAGC
rnacentral:rRNA from 1 species